UACGUAUGGUGCAAGCGUUAAUCGGAAUUACUGGGCGUAAAGCGUGCGCAGGCGGUUUUGUAAGUCUGUCGUGAAAGCCCCGGGCUCAACCUGGGAAUUGCGAUGGAGACUGCAAGGCUUGAAUCUGGCAGAGGGGGGUAGAAUUCCACGUGUAGCAGUGAAAUGCGUAGAGAUGUGGAGGAACACCGAUGGCGAAGGCAGCCCCCUGGGUCAAGAUUGACGCUCAUGCACGAAAGCGUGGGGAGCAAACAGG
rnacentral:rRNA from 1 species